UACAGAGGGGGCAAGCGUUGUUCGGAAUUACUGGGCGUAAAGGGCGUGUAGGCGGCCUUCUAAGUCGAACGUGAAAUCCCCGGGCUCAACCCGGGAACUGCGUCCGAUACUGGAAGGCUUGAAUCCGGGAGAGGGAUGCGGAAUUCCAGGUGUAGCGGUGAAAUGCGUAGAUAUCUGGAGGAACACCGGUGGCGAAGGCGGCAUCCUGGACCGGUAUUGACGCUGAGGCGCGAAAGCCAGGGGAGCAAACGGG
rnacentral:rRNA from 1 species